UGGGGAAUAUUGGACAAUGGGCGCAAGCCUGAUCCAGCCAUGCCGCGUGAGUGAUGAAGGCCCUAGGGUUGUAAAGCUCUUUCACCGGUGAAGAUAAUGACGGUAACCGGAGAAGAAGCCUCGGCUAACUUCGUGCCAGCAGCCGCGGUAAUACGAAGGGGGCUAGCGUUGUUCGGAUUUACUGGGCGUAAAGCGCACGUAGGCGGACUUUUAAGUCAGGGGUGAAAUCCCGGGGCUCAACCCCGGAACUGCCUUUGAUACUGGAAGUCUUGAGUAUGGUAGAGGUUAGUGGAAUUCCGAGUGUAGAGGUGAAAUUCGUAGAUAUUCGGAGGAACACCAGUGGCGAAGGCGGCUCACUGGACCAUUACUGACGCUGAGGUGCGAAAGCGUGGGGAGCAAACAGG
rnacentral:rRNA from 1 species